AGCGAACGCUGGCGGCAGGCUUAACACAUGCAAGUCGAGCGGGCAUCCUAGUGGUGUCGGCGGCAGACGGGUGAGUAACGCGCGGGAACGUGCCCUUCGGUUCGGAAUAACUCAGGGAAACUUGAGCUAAUACAGGCUACGCGCGAGAGCAGUAAGGCUUAUCUGCCGAAGGAUCGGCUCGCGUCUGAUUAGCUAGUUGGUGAGGCUACUGCGCACCAAGGCGACGUUCAGUAGCUUGUCAGAGAGGAAGGGCAGCCACACUGGGACUGGGACACGGCCCAGACUCCUACAGGAGGCGGGAGUGGGUGAUAUAGGACAGUGGCGGCAACCCAGAUCCAGCCAGGCCUCUAGAGUGAUGACGUCCUGAGGGUAGUAAAGCUCUUUUAUCCGGGAUUGUAAUGACGGUACCGGAAGAAUAAGCCCCGGCUAACUUCGUG
rnacentral:rRNA from 1 species